UACAGGGGGGGCAAGCGUUGUUCGGAAUUACUGGGCGUAAAGGGCCAGUAGGCGGCCAACUAAGUCCGACGUGAAAUCCCCAAGCUUAACUUGGGAACUGCGUCGGAUACUGGAUGGCUUGAAUUCGGGAGAGGGAUGCAGAAUUCCAGGUGUAGCGGUGAAAUGCGUAGAUAUCUGGAGGAAUACCGGUGGCGAAGGCGGCAUCCUGGACCGACAUUGACGCUGAACGGCGAAAGCUAGAGGAGCAAACGGG
rnacentral:rRNA from 1 species